AUUGAACGCUGGCGGCAUGCCUUACACAUGCAAGUCGAACGGCAGCGGGGGAGAAGCUUGCUUUUCCUGCCGGCGAGUGGCGAACGGGUGAGUAAUACAUCGGAACGUGCCCUGUAGUGGGGGAUAACUAGUCGAAAGAUUAGCUAAUACCGCAUACGACCUGAGGGUGAAAGUGGGGGACCGCAAGGCCUCAUGCUAUAGGAGCGGCCGAUGUCUGAUUAGCUAGUUGGUGGGGUAAAGGCCUACCAAGGCGACGAUCAGUAGCUGGUCUGAGAGGACGAUCAGCCACACGGGGACUGAGACACGGCCCAGACUCCUACGGGAGGCAGCAGUGGGGAAUUUUGGAAAAUGGGCGAAAGCCUGAUCCAGCAAUGCCGCGUGUGUGAAGAAGGCCUUCGGGUUGUAAAGCACUUUUGUCCGGAAAGAAAUGGCUCUGGUUAAUACCUGGGGUCGAUGACGGUACCGGAAGAAUAAGGACCGGCUAACUACGUGCCAGCAGCCGCGGUAA
rnacentral:rRNA from 1 species